UGGACUUCUCUUCUCCACAGCAACAACCCAAUUGUCCUUGGGCCAGAAAACUCCAACCUCCCUAAAAUUUUCCUCAUCAUAGCUGAUGGCGUCGCAAACGAAUCUGUUAAAACGGAAGAUGCCUGCACCAAACGGCUCGCAAACGUCAUCCGUCAAGUACAGGUGUCUGCAGGACUAUGGACGCAAUGCGUUUCCACCCUGAACGAGACGCAGCAGAAAGCCAUCCAGGACCUCCUGAACACUGCCUGAACCUGGACCUGUCACCCUGUCAUCUUCCUUUCCGUUCUCCAAAAAGCCCAUGAAGAAACUUAGAGCUCCUGGAUCUCUUCCAUACACUCCCUGACCUCCCUCCUGCUCUGUAGUGUAUGGAUGCCAGAUUCACCCUCAUCUUCACCUUCGCCUGACUAACAUAAAAAA